rnacentral:snRNA from 1 species
GGAUGUGGGAAUGGUCUGACUGUGACAUCUGUCACUCGUUACUCACCAGGGUAGAUUGGCUGAUCUGGCUGGCUAGGCAGAUGUCCCCUUCCUCCCUCACCAUUCCAUGAAGCUUCACACUCAGUUGAAGAGGAUAAUCUUUCCCAAAUAGUGGCAGACCAGUCUUUUAAUCCCAGCACAUGAAUAGCUUCAUUUUCCUUCUAGAACACCCAAACAAGCUCUCGAGAUACUGUAUUAUUGGCUCUAUUCACAUCACUCAGAUGUGAAUAACUUU